UUCUAUAGACACACUAAUAAGAAGAUCACCAUUGUUGCAGUGUAUGUUGAUGAUAUCAUCAUCACCGGAGAUGAUGAUGAGGAAAUAAAGAGAGUGAAGGGGUGUCUGAGCAAGGAGUUUGAGGUAAAAGACUUGGGAAAUCUAAAGUACUUCCUUGGAAUAGAAGUGGCUCGGACAAAGAAGGGAAUAUCUUUGUGCCAACGAAAAUACACCUUGGAUCUUUUGAGUGACAUGGGCAUGAUGGGAUGUCGUGCAGCCCCUACUCCGAUUGAACAAAAUCAUCAAGUAAUAGCACAAUCAGGUGAGCUAGUGAAUAAGAAAGAUUAUCAGAAGCUGGUUGGGAGGUUAUUGUACUUGUGUCAUACCAGGCCUGACAUUAUGUAU
rnacentral:rRNA from 1 species